AUGGCUGUCGUCAGCUCGUGUCGUGAGAUGUUGGGUUAAGUCCCGCAACGAGCGCAACCCUCAUCUUUAGUUGCCAUCAGUUAGGCUGGGCACUCUAGAGAAACUGCCUGCGAUGAGCAGGAGGAAGGCGGGGAUGACGUCAAGUCCUCAUGGCCCUUAUGGACUGGGCUACACACGUGCUACAAUGGCGGUGACAGUGGGAAGCAAUAGGGCGACCUGGAGCAAAUCCCCAAAAGCCGUCCCAGUUCGGAUUGUACUCUGCAACUCGAGUGCAUGAAGUUGGAAUCGCUAGUAAUCGUGGAUCAGCAUGCCACGGUGAAUACGUUCCCGGGCCUUGUACACACCGCCCGUCACACCAUGGGAAUUGGUUCUACCCGAAUGCGGUGAGCUAACCUGCUUGCAGGAGGCAGCCGACCACGGUAGGGUCAGUGACUGGGGUGAAGUCGUAACAAGGUAGCCGUAGGGGAACCUGCGGCUGGAUCACCUCCUUUCUAAGGAAAAACAAAGGGUGGGCGCCUAUUGCCUGCCGCUGCCCAGCGAAUUUCUUCCAGGUAAUCUUAAAUGGUAAACGACAGCUACAGGCGCGUAGCUCAGUUGGUUAGAGCGCACGACUGAUAAUCGUGAGGUCGGCAGUUCAAAUCUGCCCGUGCCUACCAUCUGUUCGGCCGCCUUUGGCUUGCAAUCAUUUUUGUUUUGAAAAGAAAUGCUUAUUUAUUUCGUUUGUCCGGCAGCGUCCGUUCGACGAAAUACGCUGUUUGACAAAGUUAGUGAAGACAUCCAAGACCGCGGGAUUUAGCUGUGGCGAUUUCUGGUUUACCAGUGAAUCGUGCAACUAAUCCUGCAAGAAAAGCUUGCAGAUCGCGUGUGAGGGCUUUUGCCUUUACGUACGGUCUGAUCAAGCGUCUCUAAGGGCAUUUGGUGGAUGCCUUGGCGUUGAGAGGCGAUGAAGGACGUGACACGCUGCGAUAAGCCAUGGGGAGCUGCGAGUAAGCUUUGAUCCGUGGAUUUCCGAAUGGGGAAACCCGG
rnacentral:sRNA from 1 species